rnacentral:rRNA from 1 species
UACGUAGGGGGCAAGCGUUGUCCGGAUUUAUUGGGCGUAAAGAGCGUGUAGGCGGCCCGGUAAGUCCGCUGUAAAAGUCAAAGGCUCAACCUUUGAAUGUCAGUGGAUACUGCCGGGCUAGAGUCCGGAAGAGGCGAGUGGAACUCCUGGUGUAGCGGUGGAAUGCGCAGAUAUCAGGAGGAACACCAACGGCGAAGGCAGCUCGCUGGGACGGUACUGACACUGAGGCGCGAAAGCGUGGGGAGCGAACAGG